rnacentral:rRNA from 1 species
AGUGAACGCUGGCGGUAGGCCUAACACAUGCAAGUCGAACGGCAGCACAGUAAGAGCUUGCUCUUACGGGUGGCGAGUGGCGGACGGGUGAGGAAUACAUCGGAAUCUACUUUUUCGUGGGGGAUAACGUAGGGAAACUUACGCUAAUACCGCAUACGCCCUACGGGUGAAAGCAGGGGAUCUUCGGACCUUGCGCGACUGAAUGAGCCGAUGUCGGAUUAGCUAGUUGGCGGGGUAAAGGCCCACCAAGGCGACGAUCCGUAGCUGGUCUGAGAGGAUGAUCAGCCACACUGGAACUGAGACACGGUCCAGACUCCUCCUGGAGGCAGCAGUGGGGAAUAUUGGACAAUGGGCGCAAGCAUGAUCCAGCCAUACCGCGUGGGUGAAGAAGGCCUUCGGGUUGUAAAGCCCUUUUGUUGGGAAAGAAAAGCAGCGGGUUAAUACCCCGCUGUUCUGACGGUACCCAAAGAAUAAGCACCGGCUAACUUCGUG